UGUGUAUAUACACCCAAAUUUAUGCAUUUUAAUUUUUUGGAAAAUUAUAAUCAGGCAUUGAAAUAUGAACAUCGUCAUUCUAAAAAUACAUGGAAUCACAAUAAUUAUUAAGUUAUUAGAUUGAAAGCUGACAGUUUACAACUGCUAAGGGCUUAAUGACUAUACAUCCCUAAUUGAACUUAAUAUCUUGUCUCUAGACUGAUGAAUUACUCUUUUUAAUCUAGCAGGACAAAUGAAAGUAUUACAUCUAUACGAGGACACUUUCUCCUUCAGGAGACGGACCGUACUGAUCAUCGAUCAGCACCGAGCUGACUGGAACAGAUAGAGGCCUGAUGAGAAAGAGAAAUUGUGAAAGAAAGUACCCUAAGAGCCGUACCUGCCCGGGCCAGAACCUGCAGAAGUCAAGGUUUCUCUGCAGCAAAAAAAAAUGGUGACUUGCUCCUACAUCCUACAACACUGAAACCAGGGAGCUGUAUAACCUUAUAUACUAAAACUCCACAUAAGGGAAGGUAGUCUGUCGGGAAAAGCUGCUCAUGAAUGUGCUAAUAGCACAUAUAUUGUGACCGUUGCUGACAAGGAUGAAGACCUCAACCCACCUUAGGAAGAUGAACAGUCUACAGUGGAGGAGCACAGCAGCUUCAGCUCAUUCUGCUCAGAGGCUGAGAUUCGCCAAGUUUAAGGUGUCCUGGCCGCGGAACCCAGAACCCACCUCAGAGAAGGGCUCUAAUGAAUGGCAGUGGAGCUCUGGAGCUCCCUCCUGGAGAGAAAGGACAUGGGUGGUCCUCAUCGCCCUGGCCCAAGCUGUUUCCACUAGCCGCCAAAACUCAGAAAAUAUACAAAGCUUCUCCAGCCGCUCAGAUCAAGUCAUCCCCGCCUCGCUGAGCAUCUGCCAUUAGAGCCCAAUUUACAUCCAGAUCCCUCCCAAAUCCUCAGUCCAAACUUCCGUCAAUCCUGGAUUUCAACCCGGCACGGCCACGUCUCGCUCCCUCUCGUCAGGACAGCGGGAGGAGGAGG
rnacentral:lncRNA from 1 species